rnacentral:tRNA from 1 species
GCCCGGUUGGCGGAAUUGGUAUACGCGAGCGACUUAAAAUCGCUUCCCUAACGGGAUAUGAGUUCAAGUCUCAUACCGGGCACCA